CUGCUCCCGUCGCCAUGGAGACGGGGACUGAACAAUGAGCAUCCAGAAAUGCAGCAUGGCCGCCUGGCACUGCGGCCCACACUCCCACCAGGCGCUAGAAGGUUCUCAGAACUCCAGGAAGCCAUCUGCACCGGCUCAGAAGUGGCAGAGGGGGAAUUAAAAAAAACAUAUGGUGCAUCGUAAAUAGGACUUCCUUUUAGGAAAUGAGCUGCUGUAAUUAAAUCCCCAUUCAUUUUUUGUAACAUACACACAGAGACAAAUAGAUCUUUAUCCUUUAGAGGCACAGAAGAGAAUGGCUUGUGGGGAACAGAGAU
rnacentral:lncRNA from 1 species